rnacentral:rRNA from 1 species
ACUCCUACGGGAGGCAGCAGUGGGGAAUAUUGCACAAUGGGCGCAAGCCUGAUGCAGCCAUGCCGCGUGUGUGAAGAAGGCCUUCGGGUUGUAAAGCACUUUCAGCGAGGAGGAAGGUGGUGAGCUUAAUACGCUCAUCAAUUGACGUUACUCGCAGAAGAAGCACCGGCUAACUCCGUGCCAGCAGCCGCGGUAAUAC